UUCUUCCUUCUUCAUUUUUUCUGUUUCUUCUCUAAGUUUCAGCAAGCUGGAACUCCUCCUCUUUACAUCUCUCCUCUUUGGUUUCGGAUUACUGCAGCAAAAAAAACUGCAAAACCCAUGCUCUCUUGUUGCAGAAUUUUCCUGCAGCUUAUUCCCUUGGUUUAGUGCAUAAAAGCUCCCCCUCUCUGCUCUUAUCUUGCUCGGCCAGUACCCAAAAAAUUAGAAAGAAAACCAGAAAAACAGCAAUAGCAAAACUCAGAAAAGCCUCUCAACUCUCUCUUACUCUCUCUGUUUCUUCCUGGAACAGCAGCCCUCUCCCAUCCCUUGUGUUCUCUCGGCAACAAGGAAGUUCCAGCAAACCACUUCCUCCAUAAAACCCAAAGCAAAGCUGCAGAAUCAACUCUCUUCUCUUCUCUUUCUUUGGCUUGGUCUUUGGAGUUGAAGAAUCUCUCUUCCUCUUGGCUUUACAAGUGAAGCCCAAGCCCUAAACUCUCUCCCUCAACUCUUUAUUCUUCUCUCAAGUGAUUAUAUAUGUGAACGUUUUCCUGAAGCUAGACGAAUUACUCAUGAGAUUGUGAUGAUAACUGCAUUCUCAUGCGAGUUUUUGUAGGGCGGAUUGAAGGUCAAGACUAUUGGAAUAAUUAUUUUAAUAUGUAAUAUUUGUUAUGUUGGAGAAGACAAUAAUUAUGUAUUUAUUAAGUGCCGCAUGUGGCACAUAUGUUAUUAUUUUGGAUGUAAUUAUUAUAUCAGAACAAAAUGUUAUUAUUUUUAUAUAAUGUGGUUAUUUAGUCA